AACGAACGCUGGCGGCAGGCCUAACACAUGCAAGUCGAGCGAAGCCUUCGGGCUUAGCGGCGGACGGGUGAGUAACGCGUGGGAACGUGCCCUUUGGUACGGAAUAGCCCCGGGAAACUGGGAGUAAUACCGUAUGUGGUCGAGAGACGAAAGAUUUAUCGCCAAAGGAUCGGCCCGCGUUGGAUUAGGUAGUUGGGGGGGUAAUGGCCUACCAAGCCGCCGAUCCAUAGCUGGUUUGAGAGAAUGAUCAGCGACAGUGGGACUGAGACACGGCCCGGACUCCUACGGGAGGCAGCAGGGGGGAAUCUUAGACAAUGGGGGAAACCCUGAUCUAGCCAUGCCGCGUGAUCGAUGAAGGCCUUAGAGUUGUAAAGAGCUUUCAGUGGGGAAGAUAAUGACUGUACCCACAGAAGAAGCCCCGGCUAACUCCGUGCCAGCAGCCGCCGUAAUAC
rnacentral:rRNA from 1 species